rnacentral:rRNA from 1 species
UACGUAGGGCGCAAGCGUUGUCCGGAAUUAUUGGGCGUAAAGAGCUCGUAGGCGGUUUGUCGCGUCUGUCGUGAAAGCUUGGGGCUUAACCCCAAGUCUGCGGUGGAUACGGGCAGACUAGAGGCAGGUAGGGGAGAACGGAAUUCCCGGUGUAGCGGUGAAAUGCGCAGAUAUCGGGAGGAACACCUGUGGCGAAGGCGGCCGACUGGGCCGACCCUGACGCUGAGGCGCGAAGGCGUGGGGAGCGAACGGG